rnacentral:lncRNA from 12 species
GGCCAAAGGGAAGGUCAGUCCAGCCAAUGCUAGGCUUGCCAGGCUAUGCACUCUGGUGCAGGGCCACAGUCACACUGGAGGAGGUUUUGUUUGUUUUUUUUUAAAGAUUCUAUUUAUUUAUUCAUGAGGGACAGAGAGAGAGAGAGAGGCAGAGACACAGGCAGAGAGAGAAGCAGGCUCCAUGCAGGGAGCCUGACAUGGGACUCAAUCCCAGGUCUCCAGGAUCAGGCCCUGGGUCAAAGGUGGUGCUAAACUGCUGAGCCACCCGGGCUGCCCUGGGGGAUGGUUUUAAAAAGUUCUCGUGUAGAUGCUACGUGGGGCAGUGCUGGCUGGCCUCGUUCUUAGACAUGUCCCCUGGCUUAGUGUCUCCGACGGCUUCUGUGGACUCUGUCCCUUGCCUAACAAAGCCCUUCUCGAUCUGUGCCUCAGCCUUUCCCCCAGGAUCCCCCAGCAGUGGUCUCACUGGUCUUCUAGAGCUUUCGGAACAUAUUCCAUGGUAGCUCUUUCUACAGUAGCUGGUGGGCGUCUCAAGGGCAGCUCCCUAUAGCACCCAAACCUCUCUGUCCCCAUUCAUCCCUCUCACCCCACAGCAUCUGCCUGCAGGAGCCGCAGGUGGUGGCGUCACCGCAGCUUCGGAUCCAAGAGAUUCAUUCCAGCUGCGAAAGCGCUAAGCUUUCCCUGUGAUCACACAUUUUUGCACCAGCCAGAGCUUGCACAUGCCUCUACAGACCGGCGGCCAGAGGCAUGUGGCUAUCGGCGGCUGCUCAGAGGUGCUGGCCAAGGCCGGCCGGCCAGGGAGGCCUCGAUCACGUGCAAGGAGAGAUCUAUUGGAAACAACUGACAAGAAACUGUACGUCGGAAACCGGAACAGCUGUGAGCUCCUCAACGCAGCAGAUGGGAAAAGUACAGCUGUGGGAUGGUGGAGGCCCAGAAGGGGCCUGCCUGUGCGAUGCGCUAAGAGAGCUCACCACUCUGGCCACACGGACCUUGAAGUUUCUUUUCUUUCUUCCCUUGGGAGCCAUGUCAUGCUCAAUGGGCACAACAGGAGCAAAUAAAAAUAAGAAGAGCCGCAAGCUUGUUUGGACUUCAUCAACUCCCAGUUGCCUUUACUACCUGGGUGAGGUAGAGGAAUCAUCGACAGACUCAUCGGAAAGCCCUCACUGAAUGCCCAGCUCUAGAAAAUUUGAACCUAGGCUCUCCCCUGCACACAGGAAUGACACAGCUGGAUUUGCAAAACCACAGAAUUUUUAACCGCUGAUGACAGAGCCUGUGAGGUGGGAAAAGCAAAGAGAAGCCUCAGGUGAACAGAGGAGCCACAAGGUGGGGGUUGAGCAGAAGACACAACAGGGAAAGUGUAAGGCUCAGUUGCUAAAGGAGAGAGACAGAGAGAGAAAAAAAAAUAAGAAGGUAUAGGAGCAGACACCCCACUUCUGGAAUGAUGGCAAAGGCUUGGCAGGAACUCUAGGCUUUCACUGUGUCGCCUUUGAAGUUCUGGAGAAUGUACCACGGAACAGCAGCUUAGCAGGUAGGACAUAGCCGAGCAGAGUCAACUGCAACAAUAAGUUUCACAUUUGAAACCAUUUCCCCCUGCCCAAGCCAUUUGUCUUGAACUCCCCCCUCACUCUUUCAUUCUAAGGUUAGCCAACAAUCAAAGUUUGGGCUCGACCUGCUUUCUGAAAUACAAGAAUAGUGUGGCAGAUUAAUAGAAUAUGGCAGAAAUGACCUUGGGUCAGUUUCAAGGACCAGGUCUUAAGAUUCUUCUACUUGCCAUCUCUUGGGACUCAGUCACUGUGCUGUGAGGAAAUCCAAGCAGCCCCUUAAAGAGGCUCACACGAGAGAGGAACCAAAGUUCCUGGCUCAUAGCCCCAGCUGAGCUCGCUGCCAACAGCCAACCAUGCGAGGGGGCCACCUUGGAAGGGAUUCCUCCAGCCGCAGAUGAGCUGCCCCGCUGAUGCUGUGCAGAUCAGAUAUGCCUGGUCUCCUCUGAGGUCUUCCCAGAUUGCAGAUUCAUGAGAAAGAUAAAGAACUGCUGUUUGAAGCCACUGUUUCAAGGACUGUUGUUAGCAGUGGUUUGUUGGACAGCAAUAGACACCAAGAACAAAGGACACCAGGCUAAGCAAGGGACGGGAACUCUAUCCCUUAGUGCCCCUUCCCAUGGCAGACAUUAAUUAUCAGCCACCAAAUGUUUUGCCUCACUGAGCCCAGAAACCUCAGCAGCAGUACCCCGGGCAGUCAUUACCAAAGGAUCAGAGAGGAUAUGAAAAAUGAAGCUCUUUGUCAUCUCUGGGCUAAGUGGUGACUGGCUGAGAAGUAUGGUACAGAUAUUAAAUGUGCCAAACCCCGAACUUGGGAGUUCUUUUGGUCACAUUCCAGUCUAGCGAGACAGUAACAGGCUGCCUUCCAGGAGCCUGCUUAGAACCUCAUUGCAUCAGACCAAGAGUUGCUACUUUGGCCUGUUUCAUGGCUCACUAGUGGAGGUCAUUACAUGGAGGUCACUAAGUGGAGGUCACUAGGCUCCAAAGAUGAAUGCAUUUGCCAUUCUGCUCCAUUCAUCACCUGAAAUGGACUAAUGGGUGUCUGAGGGGUUAUGCCCAAAUGACCCUAUGAGUAAUCAUCUGUAUUGUCUUCUAGGGAUACCCCAUCUCCAUCGUACCUUGCAGGGGGGCUGACAUGCUGAUGUGAAGAUAUUUGUCAAAUGGAUGUGGCCGAGGGAUGGGGGUCAGCCCUCUUCAUUUUCUCCCACUCCCCAGCUCUUAGGACAGAGCCUGGCACACAAUGGGUGCUAAACAAAUGCUCAUUACAUUGAUUUUGAUGGCAUUAUUUCCAAAAUAGUUGCUUGAUGAACAAGUGGAAUCUCUCUCCCUAAAAAAUAUCAACUCCAAACAGAAGCAUAAUAGAGCCAGAGCUCAAAGCAAAAUUAUUCACAAAUUCCAAGUGCCUCAAUCCAUGGGUUUUAAUGAAAGUCAUUCUGCAGUUGAGAAUGUUGUAGUAAUUACAGGCAAGCUAAUGUCUCUGCCAUAUGGUUUGAAAGCAGGUCUGAAUUUUGAAAGCCACUAUCAGCAUUUUUAUUUUCUGCUGCUGCUUCUGAGCCCCACCCCCUGCCUGCCUUUGUCUCUCCCUCUCUCUCUCUCUCUUUUUGCUUUUAGCGCUUUCAACCUCAUAUUCCCUCUCUCCCACACAACUCUCCCGCUUUGGCCUCCCUUCUUCAAGCUCAAGUCACAGUUUUAAAGCCUUUGAUAGGAAACCUCCAGUAGUUCUGAGAAGUAAUUGCAGUGCCCAGACUGGGUCAUGACAUAGCAUUGCCUGUCCUGACCCACUUGCCGAGAAAGAGGAUCAAGGAUGUUCUGACCCCUUGUGAAUUGGCCAUGUCACUUCAUCCCUCAAGUGUGGUUGCAUGAUUGAAGGAAAAAGACUCCAAUUAAUCUCUCUGCCACUGCAUCACCCCGGUGCAUUGGUUCUCAACCCUGGCUGCUCAGAGAAUCACUCGAGGAGUUAUUAAGAGUGCAGAAGGCUGGACCCCACCUCUUAAUUGGUUUGGAGUAGAGUCCAGACUGUCAGAUCAGCCGGCAUCUCCCCAGAGGAUUCUAACAUAGAGCCAGGGUUAAGAACCCCACCCUAGAACCUUAGACUUGGAUAAACAGCAGUGGGAUCUAAUCUUUCUUCUUGUGUCUUCCUGUUACACUCUGAAGUGAGACAGUGCAAGCAAGCAACACCAAAGAAAUGCCAAAUUAAAAGGCAUCCACUCACUUAGAGGCAGCUAGGAAAUGAAAUAAUGACACAUCUGUUUGACUCAAAACUCAUUCACAAAUGACUUGGUAACAUUUCCAUAAAAGCCCUUCCAAGCAGGCUGAGCUGGAGUUAAUCUCUAUUUUUGCAAAUGGGACCUUAGAUACUCAGAUCAUAGGGUAGGCAAGCCUACUCUUAGGUCAGGGCUCUUUCGGGCUGUAUCACACCUGUUCCCUUUGCCCAACUCCUAGGGUCAAGACUUCCUUCCAGCCUGCCCUAAAAUUCUUAGAAGGAUAAUUGCUUUGGGAUAGACUACAAAUGUCACUGUUAUUCUUCCCUAGAAGGCCACCAGGCUGGAGUCUUUCCUCAGCAGAUUAAUUGAUGAGAUUAGCUGCCAUGGAAGGCCAGAGAGCCUUGAGGCAACAAUGAAGGUAGGGUGCUCAGGAGCUCCUAGGGAAGCACCUGCCAUCAAGUCAGGUAUAACAGAAGGCCAAUAGAGCUUAGAGCUGGAAGGGAGUCUAUGGUACCAACAGUGGGAGUAGGGUCUCCUAUUUUCGGAGGCAUCCUUGCUGAUUUCAGGCUAGGGUUUGAGAUACAGCCACGGAUAUGGAAGAAGGAAAUAACUACUGUUUGGUAGUAAAAAAAAGAAGCAAAAAUAAAUUUAACUCCCCCAAACUUGAGGU